rnacentral:rRNA from 1 species
CCUACGGGUGGCAGCAGUCGAGAAUAAUUCACAAUGGGGGCAACCCUGAUGGUGCAACGCCGCGUGGAGGAUGACGGUCUUCGGAUUGUAAACUCCUGUCAUCUGGGAGUUCACGGUGUGUCAGGAAGGGACGGCUAACUUCGUGCCAGCAGCCGCGGUAAUACGAAGGUCCCAAGCGUUGUUCGGAAUCACUGGGCGUAAAGGGAGCGUAGGCGGCGUGGUAAGUCAGAUGUGAAAUCCCGGGGCUCAACCCCGGAACUGCAUCCGAUACUGCCAUGCUAGAGGAUUGGAGAGGUAGCUGGAAUUCUUGGUGUAGCAGUGAAAUGCGUAGAGAUCAAGAGGAACACUCGUGGCGAAAGCGAGCUACUGGACAAUCCUGACGCUGAGGCUCGAAGGCUAGGGUAGCGAAAGGGAUUAGAUACCCUUGUAGUC